rnacentral:lncRNA from 1 species
AGGGGCGCCUGGGAAAUAUCCUGUGCGCGUCUCUAUUAUGAUCGAGUGUAAAUGAGGGCCGCCGGCAGGCUGGAAACUAGCUACUGCGGUCGCAGUUGCUCUCUGAAGCCGCAAGGUAGGGGCGAUCGGCUGCCGCUGCCAGGAGAGCGGACGAUGCGGAGAUCCCUGAGCAAUCAUCUAAGAAGUCUGAUCACCUGAAUAGACCACAUGGAGAGACUGUGGGAGCACAUGAAGAGAGGUGGGCAGGGGGAACCCAGCUGCAUCCAACAAUCCAGAAAUCCCUAACAAGAUGCUAGACAUGAAGGAAACCAUCUUGGAUCCACCAGAUCAACCUAGCCACCAGCUGGAUACCACUGAGAGAUGCCAGUGGAGCAGAAUUGUCCAAUAAGCCUUGCCCAAAUUUCUCACCCACACAAUUAUGAGUAUAAUAAAAUGAUUAUUGUUUUCAGCC